CUAAGAACUAGGAGAACAUAAAUAAUUGUUGUAGGCAUAGGACAACAUGAUUCCCCGUUAAACACGCCGAAUAUAGGUGUCUCCCAAAGUCGGUCACAGGAUUAGCAAAAUGGGGAAAAAAACGGAAAAGUAGCAAAUGCUAGCCUUAAAUUAAUCCAAAAUAUCAGUUUAUAACUAUAUUAUCACCUCCGUAAACUUUUUUCUACUCUUGAUAGGAACCCACCAUUUCUAUUAUUCUUGUUCCUUCCCUUACCUGUCAAGAUCAAAAGAAACUCAACUACCAAAACAAAACCACUCACCAGGCCACUACCUUCUGGAAUCUAUCUGUCUUGAGCCUACCAAAAAUCCAACAUGGAAGAUUACAACAGAUCAAGGUCAUAUGGCAAUGGAAUGAUGCAGCUGGACACUUACCAUGGACCACCUAGGCCUUCAGCUUCUUAUGACCUCAGGUGCCAUAGUGCUGCUGCCUAUGCACAGUCCCAGAUGGCUAACAACUACAACUCGGGGAACAACAGGGACUUCAAGUUGAAGAAAGGGAAGAGUACUUCAGCCUCAUCUUCUUCGAAUCCAUGGAGCUUUGGUGACCCUGAAUUCCAGAGGAAGAAAAGGGUUGCCAGCUACAAGAUGUACAGUGUGGAAGGUAAGGUCAAAGGGUCCUUGAGGAGAAGCUUUAGGUGGCUUAAAGAUAAGUACACACAAGUUGUCUAUGGAUGGUGGUGAUUUUGGUAGUUGGGCUCUUGUUCCCUGUUGCUCUCUUCUUUAUGUUUUUCUUGCUUGUAUUCAAGGGAGGUUUGAUUAGCUGUAAGCAUAGGCUUCUUCAGCAGUUGUUUUCAAGGAAUUUACGUCAUCUGCAUAUUGUAUUGUAUUUGGAGUAAGCAUUUGAUGCUUGGUUGCUGUAGACAAAUAUAUCUACUAUUAAGCCUUAUUUGAACUUUUAGGCUGGGAAAUGGGACUAGGAUAGGGGAAAAGAUUGCAGAUGAUGUUGGAUCUUAUCUUAUAAUGAACUUAUAGUAUUAUGAGUUUAGCAUA